rnacentral:sRNA from 1 species
UUCACACGCCUGAAGACUGAAAUAAUCUGUUUAUCCACAGAACAGGAGCAGCCUCGAGCUGCCACUUGUCAUCAAGUCUCACCGCUGACAUGGAGGGUCCACCUCUAGGGUUAAGUGUCCAUAGUCCAUCCAUUCAGUCUUUGGCCUCU